AGUGAACGCUGGCGGUAGGCCUAACACAUGCAAGUCGAACGGCAGCACAGUAAGAGCUUGCUCUUACGGGUGGCGAGUGGCGGACGGGUGAGGAAUACAUCGGAAUCUACUUUUUCGUGGGGGAUAACGUAGGGAAACUUACGCUAAUACCGCAUACGCCCUACGGGUGAAAGCAGGGGAUCUUCGGACCUUUCGCGAUUGAAUGAGCCGAUGUCGGAUUAGCUAGUUGGCGGGGUAAAGGCCCACCAAGGCGACGAUCCGUAGCUGGUCUGAGAGGAUGAUCGGCCACACUGGAACUGAGACACGGUCCAGACGCCUACGGGAGGCAGCAGUGGGGAAUAUUGGACAAUGGGCGCAAGCCUGAUCCAGCCAUACCGCGUGGGUGAAGAAGGCCUUCGGGUUGUAAAGCCCUUUUGUUGGGAAAGAAAAGCAGCAGGUUAAUACCCCGCUGUUCUGACGGUACCCAAAGAAUAAGCACCGGCUAACUUCGUG
rnacentral:rRNA from 1 species